AAUCAACGCUGGCGGCGUGCCUCAGACAUGCAAGUCGAACGCGAAAGUCCCCUUCGGGGGACAAGUAGAGUGGCGCACGGGUGAGUAACACGUAGGUAAUCUACCUUUGGAUGGGGAAUAACAACCGGAAACGGUUGCUAAUACCGCAUAAUGCAGCGGCACCUAAUGGUGACAGUUGUUAAAGCGGGGGAUUGAAAGACCUCGCGUCUGAAGAGGAGCCUGCGGCGGAUUAGCUGUUGGUAAGGUAACGGCUUACCAAGGCGACGAUCCGUAGCCGGCCUGAGAGGGCGGUCGGCCACACUGACACUGACAUACGGGUCAGACUCCUACGGGAGGCAGCAGUCGGGAAUUUUGGGCAAUGGGCGAAAGCCUGACCCAGCAACGCCGCGUGAAGGAUGAAAUCCCUCGGGAUGUAAAC
rnacentral:rRNA from 1 species